AUCGAACGCUGGCGGCAGGCCUAACACAUGCAAGUCGAACGAGUGGCGGACGGGUGAGUAAUGUCUGGGAAAAUGCCUGAUGUAGGGGGCUAACUACUGGAAACGUUAGCUAAUACCGCAUACCAUCGGAUGUGCCCAGAUGGGAAGAGCUAGCAGGUGGGGUAAAGGCUAACCUAGGCGACGAUACCUAGCUGGUCUGAGAGGAGUACCAGCCAAACUGGAAAUGAGACACGGACCAGACUCCAACGUGAGGCAGCAGUGGGGAAUAUUGGGCAAUGGGCGCAAGCCUGAGGCAGCCAUGCCGAGUGAAUGAAGAAGGCCUUCGGGUUGUAAAGUACUUUCAGCGGAGAGGCGUUACCCGCAGAGGAAGCACCGGCUAACUCCGUGCCAGCAGCCGCGGUAAUUC
rnacentral:rRNA from 1 species